rnacentral:rRNA from 1 species
GUCCAGACUCCUACGGGAGGCAGCAGUGGGGAAUAUUGCACAAUGGGGGAAACCCUGAUGCAGCAACGCCGCGUGAGUGAAGAAGUCUUUCGGUAUGUAAAGCUCUAUCAGCAGGGAAGAAAAUGACGGUACCUGAGUAAGAAGCCCCGGCUAACUACGUGCCAGCAGCCGCGGUAAUACGUAGGGGGCAAGCGUUAUCCGGAUUUACUGGGUGUAAAGGGAGCGUAGACGGCGAUACAAGCCUGAAGUGAAAGCCCGGGGCUCAACCCCGGGACUGCUUUGGAAACUGUGUUGCUGGAGUGCUGGAGAGGCAAGCGGAAUUCCUAGUGUAGCGGUGAAAUGCGUAGAUAUUAGGAAGAACACCAGUGGCGAAGGCGGCUUACUGGACAGUAACUGACGUUGAGGCUCGAAAGCGUGGGGAGCAAACAGGAUUAGAUACCCGAGUAAGC